AUUUUGGAGGCCCCAGCAAGAUCCCUGGGUAAGGAACCCUGGUUCGGCCGAGACUCUGUGGCGGGAUCCAGCAGGAGACUCUCAGGCGCAGACCUCAAAGAAAACCUCCGGAGGUUGGAUACCAAAACCCUAGAACCUCGUUGGAAAGGACCGGUUCCCGUUAUCCUGUCAACUCCCUUGGUGGUGAAGGUGGCCGGACAUUCUGCCUGGAUACAUCACAACCAUCUAAAACCAGGACCCCCCCCACGGAUGUCAAAGAGGAUAAAUGGAAGAUUAUCAGCCAGCCAGGCGACCAGCAGCUAAGAUUGGAACAAGUUGGAAGUACCUCACCUUCGUGAUAAUAUUUUC
rnacentral:lncRNA from 1 species